GACGAACCGAGCGAACGUUGUUCGGAAUCACUGGGCUUAAAGGGCGCGUAGGCGGGUUCUCAAGUCCGGGGUGAAAUCCCACAGCUCAACUGUGGAAUUGCCUCGGAUACUGGGGGUCUCGAGGGUGGUAGGGGUAUGCGGAACUAUCGGUGGGGCGGUGAAAUGCGUUGAUAUCGAUAGGAACUCCGGUGGCGAAGGCGGCAUACUGGACCACAUCUGACGCUGAGGCGCGAAAGCCAGGGGAGCAAACGGG
rnacentral:rRNA from 1 species